CAGCAGCCACGGGAACACGUAGGGUGCAAGCGUUAAUCGGAAUUACUGGGCGUAAAGCGUGCGCAGGCGGUUAUAUAAGACAGAUGUGAAAUCCCCGGGCUCAACCUGGGAACUGCAUUUGUGACUGUAUAGCUAGAGUACGGCAGAGGGGGUUGGAAUUCCGCGUGUAGCAGUGAAAUGCGUAGAUAUGCGGAGGAACACCGAUGGCGAAGGCAAUCCCCUGGGCCUGUACUGACGCUCAUGCACGAAAGCGUGGGGAGCAAACAGGAUUAGAUACCCCCGUAGUCCCUGUCUCUUAUAA
rnacentral:rRNA from 1 species